GCCCUGAAUUACUUUGCUCCGGGCUGGAUGACGAUCCAAGUCUAUUGUACUCAAGGUUAACAGGAGAUGAUAUACCACAUGGCACCAGGCUGCCUGAAGGUAACUACACAUUAGACUCAGGGCUCCUUGACCGAGGGACCGAGGUUGUCUCACAGAAUGCCUGUUGUGGUUCAGCAUCUAGUAAUUACAGCUCUCAACACCAAUUCCUUCCUUAUUUGAGAGGACAGGGCAACGCCACAGGACCUUUACCAUAUUCUCGAGAGACUGAGAUGUGUAGUGGUGGCCACAACGAGGUACUAAAACCACUUCCGAUCGUGGGCGGAGAAUUCGGCGAGAGUGCCAGCACGGGCUAUGCUCCAGAGGAGGAGAUCCUGAGGGGAGAUCUGGAUGGAGCAUCGGUGGAGUCAGCCUUCGAAGGAACAGAUGACAGCACUGGGCGAGGAGGCAGCGGCUGCACGGAGCUGUCACUCACACGUCGCCAUCCGUUACAAAGGAUGAGGACGCCAACCAGUAGCAGAG